UAAUUUGAUAAUUCAUAUGAGAACACAUACUGGAGGGAAAGCUUAUGUUUGUGAUGCGUGUGAAAAAAGCUUGUUGGGAUUGAGUAAUUUAAAAAUCCACAUAGCAACACACACGGCAGAGAAACCUUAUGUUUGUGAUAUGUGGAAACAAUCUUUUGCACAGAAGAGUUAUUUAAAAAAACAUAUACCUAAAACACACUGCUGAAAAACUUUGUUUGUGAAGUGUGUUAAAAAGACUGCACACUUUCAUUGUUAAAAAAUGCAGAUGAUAACACAUAAAGCAGAAAGAUAUUUCACAAUUUGGGAAUCACAAAUUUGUCAUUUAAGAACACACAUGAGAAUACAUACAGGAGACAAACCUGCUUGUGAAGUUUGUACAAAAGGUUUUACACAUCAGUCAUUUAAAAACACACAAAGAUACCUACUAGAGAAGAAGCCUUAUUAUUGUGAAUUGUGUGGAAAAGGUUUUUCAGUUGUAUCCUCAUGUGGAGUAGUCAUCCUCAGGUCAAGAUCUCCGGGCAUUGGUUUCCAAAGACAAAUAUCCAAAUUUGAAGAAAAUGUUUUGAACAACUGCUUUCGUUACUGCCAUCUACAGGAGCAAUGAGAAACUAAUCGAAUCGAAGCCAUCUAGUAGCCGGCGCCCGUAAACAUUUUUAGUAAUAAAGCCGAUUUUUUACGUCGAUUUAUAACAACAGAUGAAACGUGUUCAUUAUAUACGCUAGAAUCAAAAAUUCAAGCAAAACAGUCGACGCAAUUGGGAUGCCCGGCUCCAAAAAAAGCCAUGGCUGUAAAGUCGGCUGGAAAAGUGAUGGCCUCCGUCUUUUGGGAUGCAGAUGGGAUCUUGAUGAUAGAUUACCUUCCUAAAGAUCAAACAAUUAAUGGAGAAUACUACGCUAAUCUUCUAGAUAAUGUUCAUCAAUGUAUUCAGCAAAAACGAACAGGUUUGGCGAAAAAAAAACAUCUUCCACUAAGACAACGCUAGGGUUCACACAUGUGUUAAAGCUGUGGCACAAAUCAACGAAUUGAAGUAUGAUUUGCUGCCCCACACACCUUAUUCGCCUGACCUACCGCCAUCAGACUUCUACUUAUUCCCUAAGCUCAAAACUUUUUUGGGCGGACAGAAAUUUGCCAUAAAUGAUGAAGUCAUAGCGGCUGUAGAGGAGUAUUUUGCAGGCCACGAAAGAAAUCAUUUUAUGGAAGGCAUUAUUGCUUUAGAACGAAGAUGGAUUAAGUGCGUAGUGGUUCAUGGAGACUAUGUCGAAAAAUAAAAUUAAUUUUAUCAUGGAAA